AUUGAACGCUGGCGGCAUGCCUUACACAUGCAAGUCGAACGGCAGCAUGAUCUAGCUUGCUAGAUUGAUGGCGAGUGGCGAACGGGUGAGUAAUACAUCGGAACGUGCCCUGUAGUGGGGGAUAACUAGUCGAAAGAUUAGCUAAUACCGCAUACGACCUGAGGGUGAAAGUGGGGGACCGCAAGGCCUCAUGCUAUAGGAGCGGCCGAUGUCUGAUUAGCUAGUUGGUGAGGUAAAGGCUCACCAAGGCGACGAUCAGUAGCUGGUCUGAGAGGCCGACCAGCCACACUGGGACUGAGACACGGCCCAGACUCCUACGGGGGGCAGCAGUGGGGAAUUUUGGACAAUGGGCGAAAGCCUGAUCCAGCAAUGCCGCGUGUGUGAAGAAGGCCUUCGGGUUGUAAAGCACUUUUGUCCGGAGAGAAAUGGCUCUGGUUAAUACCUGGGGUCGAUGACGGUACCGGAAGAAUAAGGACCGGCUAACUACGUG
rnacentral:rRNA from 1 species